UACGUAGGUGGCAAGCGUUGUCCGGAGUUAUUGGGCGUAAAGCGUGCGCAGGCGGUUUGUUAAGUCUGCUGUGAAAUCCCCGAGCUCAACUUGGGAAUUGCAGUGGAUACUGGCAAGCUGGAGUACGGUAGAGGAAGGUGGAAUUCCCGGUGUAGCAGUGAAAUGCGUAGAGAUCGGGAGGAAUACCAGAGGCGAAGGCGGCUACCUGGACAAUUGCUGACGCUCAGGCACGAAAGCGUGGGGAGCAAAAGGG
rnacentral:rRNA from 1 species